rnacentral:rRNA from 1 species
UAGGGAAUCUUGCGCAAUGGGCGAAAGCCUGACGCAGCGACGCCGCGUGAGGGAUGAAGGCCUUCGGGUUGUAAACCUCUUUCAGCAGGGACGAAGCCUAACGGUGACGGUACCUGCAGAAGAAGGUCCGGCCAACUACGUGCCAGCAGCCGCGGUAAUACGUAGGGACCGAGCGUUGUCCGGAUUUAUUGGGCGUAAAGAGCUCGUAGGCGGCCGUUCACGUCGGAUGUAAAAGCUCAGGGCUCAACCCUGAGAGGCCAUUCGAUACGGGACGGCUAGAGGUAGGUAGGGGAGAGUGGAAUUCCUGGUGUAGCGGUGAAAUGCGCAGAUAUCAGGAGGAACACCGGUGGCGAAGGCGGCUCUCUGGGCCUUACCUGACGCUGAGGAGCGAAAGCUGGGGGAGCAAACAG